rnacentral:rRNA from 1 species
ACUCCUACGGGAGGCAGCAGUGGGGAAUAUUGCACAAUGGGCGCAAAGCCUGAUGCAGCCAUGCCGCGUGUGUGAAGAAGGCCUUCGGGUUGUAAAGCAGCUUUCAGUCGUGAGGAAGGUAGUGUAGUUAAUAGCUGCAUUAUUUGACGUUAGCGACAGAAGAAAGGCACCGGCUAACUCCGUGCCAGCAGCCGCGGUAAUACGGAGGGUGCGAGCGUUAAUCGGAAUUACUGGGCGUAAAGCGCAUGCAGGUGGUUUGUUAAGUCAGAUGUGAAAGCCCGGGGCUCAACCUCGGAAUUGCAUUUGAAACUGGCAGGCUAGAGUACUGUAGAGGGGGUAGAAUUUCA